UGGGGAAUAUUGGACAAUGGGCGAAAGCCUGAUCCAGCCAUGCCGCGUGUGUGAAGAAGGUCUUCGGAUUGUAAAGCACUUUAAGUUGGGAGGAAGGGCAUUAACCUAAUACGUUAGUGUUUUGACGUUACCGACAGAAUAAGCACCGGCUAACUCUGUGCCAGCAGCCGCGGUAAUACAGAGGGGGCAAGCGUUAAUCGGAAUUACUGGGCGUAAAGCGCGCGUAGGUGGUUUGUUAAGUUGGAUUUGAAAUCCCCGGGCUCAACCUGGGAACUGCAUUCAAAACUGACUGACUAGAGUAUGGUAGAGGGUGGUGGAAUUUCCUGUGUAGCGGUGAAAUGCGUAGAUAUAGGAAGGAACACCAGUGGCGAAGGCGACCACCUGGACUAAUACUGACACUGAGGUGCGAAAGCGUGGGGAGCAAACA
rnacentral:rRNA from 1 species